CCUCAGCCUCCAGUGACAGCAGGAGAGGCCUCCCCUGGCUGGUGACUUGUUAGAACAAUGGUUAGCUGCAGCACUUUCCUGCCUCUUGCGAUCUCAAGUCAACAGGACAGAGACCAACAAGAAAGACAGGACCAGCUGUACAAUAGGGACUUCUCAUCAGGAAUGUAACAUAGGGAGACCUUUUGGCCUCAGUGGACACUAUUCCUUGGCUUUUUGUGGGGCCGCGGCACCGGGUGUAGUCUAGACCUGCUCUGAGAGACUGGAGGAGGCUGCUGAUGUUGUAGAUGACACAAGACGCAGCUGCUGAGCAACCCUUCUGUGCUUAGCAGAGAAAACUCCCAGGUGGCUGAGGCAUCGUCUUUGUGACUCACUGCAAACGCUGCCUCUUUGGAAGGAAGGAGGAACAAUUUCUCUGAAUUCCAGGACCUCACACUGCUAAGGCUUCUCCUGAGCUCCAUGCUCUCCGUCCAGCCUCUCUCUCUCCCAAUUGC
rnacentral:lncRNA from 1 species